CUGGGAAUCUCUGCAACUGGGCCCAGAAGCCAUGUCAGAUCCAUCCAUCCUGGGUGGUAUCCAUGUAAAACCUGGGAAACCUGCUUAAGAAAAAAAAGAAGUGGCUUCAACACUAAAAGAGCUGAAGACACAGGGGAAGAGUUGAGCACAGAGCGCCUCGCGCCUGGAUGGAGUUAGUUUUCCAUUUCUUCAUCAUUUCGAUUUCUUUAAUCCUGUAUUUGUUCCAUCCCAUAUAAGAACUCGUCUAAAUUGUUAUCAAAACAUAGCCAAAGUGGGAUUCUCUCUCACCCCUAUCUCUAUCCUGCCAGAGAUCUAGAUAGACAAGCACAAGAUUAAAAGAAUUUGUGACAGAGAUCGCAGGACAGAGUGGGCAUGAUUCUACGCAAAAGCACAUAUGCUGUGGAUUCACAUCCCACUCCUUCACCCAUGCGGAAGACAGCUCCCAUCUAUCUACCUGUUUAAGCCGGCAUGAGGAAAAGCUGUCUACACAAAGAGUACAGUACUUCUAGUUGCUAAAUGAAUGGAGUGCAGGACAGCAGUUCUGCCCCAGCAAGCAGGGGAAGGCAAGUCAUGGUCCUCAUCAGGUUAACUCAGAUGAGCCAAAUAAAAAGAAUAAAGAAAAGGGGACAGAUUGCUGUCAAGAACUUUAGAAGGAGAAGCAGAUAAAAGGCAAGGUAUUUGUAUAGAGGCUGGCCACCUUUCAAGAGAUCCGAUGUGUGGUGUAAUGGAUGUGGCUGUCUGCGGAAGUAUUUAUCCUGUCACUCUCCAAUUUAUAUUCAACUUGCACAUUUGUAAAUAAACAGUUCUUGUUG